AACACAUGCAAGUCGAACGAGACCUUCGGGUCUAGUGGCGCGCGGGUGCGUAACGCGUGGGAAUCUGCCCUUGGGUUCGGAAUAACUCGCCGAAAGGCGUGCUAAUACCGGAUGAUGUCGUAAGACCAAAGAUUUAUCGCCCAGGGAUGAGCCCGCGUAAGAUUAGGUAGUUGGUGAGGUAAAGGCUCACCAAGCCGACGAUCUUUAGCUGGUCUGAGAGGAUGAUCAGCCACACUGGGACUGAGACACGGCCCAGACUCCUACGGGAGGCAGCAGUGGGGAAUAUUGGACAAUGGGCGAAAGCCUGAUCCAGCAAUGCCGCGUGAGUGAUGAAGGCCUUAGGGUUGUAAAGCUCUUUUACCCGGGAUGAUAAUGACAGUACCGGGAGAAUAAGCUCCGGCUAACUCCGUGCCAGCAGCCGCGGUAAUAC
rnacentral:rRNA from 1 species